GGGGCCGUACUGGUUUCGACGGGGGUGUUGCAGCAGGAAUAGCGAGCGGAUGCGCCUAACAUCCUUAAAAUGGGCAAUUAUAAAUUAAAGAACGACGAUAACGUAGUUCUCGCCGCUGCUUAAUGCGGCCGUCCUGCCCGGAAGGACCACGAGCCGGGUUUGGGCGUGAAAUGAGUGGUGCCCGUGCGUGCGGAAAGAGUUGACCGUACCACGCAUGAUGACUCUACCAAUCCCCUGAGUGUGGCGGCCCACGCUUGGGUGCGGGAAUGUAAUUGACCGCCUGCGCUCGGAGAAGUUCCUGUGAAUAUGCUUUCGGACAGGGGUUCGACUCCCCUCGGCUCCACCA
rnacentral:tmRNA from 2 species